rnacentral:rRNA from 1 species
AUGUCAUCUUAUCUUACCAUCACCGCACAAACCUUAACCUUCAUUGUCAGUUUCAAUGCCCUGCGAUGGGCAAAAGUCAUAUUGGAGAGCAUGGCACCUGAGCUCUAUGGGAUGCACGCCAAUCCCAACUGUAUGAACAAAUAUGGAUACUUUGCGCUCCAUGAAGCUGCUGAAAGGUUCUCUGUCGACAUGAUCAAGCUGCUUUUACGCCAUGGUGCAUCACCAAAUGUGUGCGCAGUUGGCAAUGAUGUCAUUGAGAAUCUACUCCCGCUCCAUGUCGCAGUUGAGAAUACUUGUCUGCAUAAGUAUCUAGAGGACAAUCUGGAGUACAAUCUUUCUCGCAGCCAGAAUCAUCUGGAUUAUAUCUACAAGCUUAUUCAUCUGCUGUGUCUACCUGAAAUGAAGAUCUUCUUGGACACAACUAGACUGCUUGCAGGGAAAACAAAUAAUCUACUUCAAGAGCUCUGGAAUUACAUUGAGGAUGGAAAAAUUAUCCAGUCUGCUGUUCUACUACUGGCUGCUCAAGAGCAGAUCCGCAGUAGUAAGAAAAAUGGGUUUGGCCUUAUCAGUAACUGUAUAAUGAGGCUUUCAUAUUCCUUGAGAUGGGAGAAAGGUUCACAUGGAAUGGCACCGGAGCUUCUGGAGGAAAGGAAGACAUUUACGGAUUGCGCAUGGCUGCUUGUUGAUGUAAUUUCCUAUGCCGGUGAAAAUCUUUCUGCAUACAUUCAAGCACAUUCUGAGGUGCCCCAUGUGGAGGUCUUUCAACAUGUUUCAUCUAUCCUCAAGGAGUAUGGAUUUUGCCCUACUGGAGAUCCCAUGGACACUGUAAACCUGUACUACCCUUUGUAUUGCUUCACACAAUAA